UACGGGGGGGGCAAGCGUUGUUCGGAAUUACUGGGCGUAAAGGGCUCGUAGGCGGCCAACUAAGUCACACGUGAAAUCCCUCGGCUCAACCGGGGAACUGCGUGUGAGACUGGAUGGCUUGAGUUUGGGAGAGGAAUGCGGAAUUCCAGGUGUAGCGGUGAAAUGCGUAGAUAUCUGGAGGAACACCGGUGGCGAAGGCGGCAUUCUGGACCAACACUGACGCUGAGGAGCGAAAGCCAGGGGAGCAAAGCGGG
rnacentral:rRNA from 1 species